rnacentral:rRNA from 1 species
GGCGGACGGGUGAGUAACGCGUAAGAACUUGCCCUUUAGACUGGGAUAACAGGGGGAAACUUCUGAUAAUACUGGAUAAGUUAGUAUAUCGCAUGAUAUGCAAAUGAAAGCUACGGCACUAAAGGAGAGCUUUGCGUCCUAUUAGCUAGUUGGUAAGGUAAGAGCUUACCAAGGCGAUGAUAGGUAGCCGGCCUGAGAGGGUGGACGGCCACAAGGGGACUGAGAUACGGCCCAGACUCCUACGGGAGGCAGCAGCG